rnacentral:rRNA from 1 species
UACGUAGGUGGCAAGUGUUGUCCGGAUUUACUGGGUGUAAAGGGCGUGUAGCCGGGCUUACAAGUCAGAUGUGAAAUCCGGGGGCUCAACCCCCGAACUGCAUUUGAAACUGUAGGUCUUGAGUAUCGGAGAGGCAGGCGGAAUUCCUAGUGUAGCGGUGAAAUGCGUAGAUAUUAGGAGGAACACCAGUGGCGAAGGCGGCCUGCUGGACGACAACUGACGGUGAGGCGCGAAAGCGUGGGGAGCAAACAGG